AUCCUGAAACAACGUGGGAGGCACAGAGCUCUGAGAUGGUAUGCAUGUGACAGCACCGCCAUCACCCGAAUAUACAGCACUGAGCGAUGGAUACUGUGUGCAAGAAAACGCUGGGCCUGCCUGCCUGCCUUCUAGCUCAGGGAAUCAAAGGGAGGUUCAUGGGUUGCCUUACACAUCUACUGUGGGGAGCUCAGGCACUCUCCUUUGCAUGCAGUUUAAAGCAAACAGAAAACUUUUCUUGAUACAGUAUGGCAAUAGCUGGCCCUGUCCCCUGUGUAGGAACUAAAGGCUUUUUAACCAGUUAGGAGACCAAGAAAAUGAACUAAGUGAUUACUGAACUCAAAUUUGUCUUACUCAUGAUGGUUUAUUUCCGUGAUCCUGUGAGACUGUUAACCAAUGUUCAGUAUUCUGUGGAGAAACCUAUGCACCACCCGUGAACUGAAAGCUUAAGACUUUAAGUCCAAAUGUGCUGUCCCAAAAUAGACAAAACAAAACAAAAAGCAAACAAAACCAAAACAGCCAAGAAACUUUUCUAGCGAAUCACAAAGAAGUAAGCAAAAUAUAAGAAAUUCUGUCAAAACAGCUCAGACACAGCUCUUGUUCUGAGCCCUCUGUGGCAUGACAUUGGUACUUGCACUCUGGAGGCUGAGGCAGGAGGUUGUCAAGUUCCAGCAGUUCAGUCCGGGCUCCAAGGAGGAAGCAAUGGCCUCUACUGAAAGUGAGCAACUUUGUAUCAGCCGCUACAUCUCCAUGGACGCAUCUCAGGCCUGCUCUCUUUCUUUACUCUGGAGGACAAUUGGAGCUCAGUCAUCACACUCUUCUUUAAGACCUAAGGAAACGGGUGGAGAGAUGGCUCAGUGGUGAAGAACACUGACUACUUUUCCAGAGAUCCUGAGUUCAAUUCCCAGGAACUACAUGGUGGCUCACAGCCAUGUGUAAAGGGAUCCAGUGCCCUUUUCUAAUGUGUCUGAAGACAGCUACAGUGUACUGCUCAUAUACAUUAAAUAAAUUUUAAAAAUCUAAAAAAAAAAAAGACCUAAGGAAAUGUAAGUAAAAGAAAAUGUAAGUAGGUGUUUUAGUUAAGAUUUUACUGCUGUGAACAGACACCAUGAUCAAGGUCAACUCUUAUAAGGAAAACAUUUAAUUGGGUCGGGCUCAUAGGUUCAGAGGUUCAGUCCAUUGUCAUCAAGGUACAGUUGGAGCUGAGCGUUUUACAUCUUUAUCUGCUAGCAGAGUGUUGGCUCCCAUGACGCUAGGAUGAGGGUCUUAAAGCCCACACCCACAGUGACACACCCACUCCAACAGGGCCACACCUUCUAAUAGUACCACUCCCUAGUACAAGCCAUAACAGUGGGCUAAAAGAAAUAUUAACUUUUGGGAGAAUAUGGAGUCACAUUUCAAUUUAAUUUAAUUAUAGUUCUCUUAAAUUAGCGACUCUCAUAGGCUUGAACACCUACCCCAUAUCUACCUUUCUAUAGCCUCUUUAGUCAGGCCAGACUCUUGACUUGCCCCAUGGACAUAUUUUUAAACCUAUGUGUUCAAAUUUUCUUUAGACACCAACUUCUACUGGACAUUCCCCAUUUAAGCCCCCUGUUAAGUUUAACCCCUGCACCAAGCCUUUAACUAAUUUUAUCUUCCAGGACUUAGACAAGAUCAGGAUGUCUGA